rnacentral:rRNA from 1 species
AUUGAACGCUGGCGGCAGGCCUAACACAUGCAAGUCGAACGAGUGGCGGACGGGGGAGUAAUGUCUGGGAAACUGCCUGAUGGAGGGGGAUAACUACUGGAAAAGGUCGAUCAUACCGCAUACCAUCGGCUUUGCCCAGAUGGGCUUAGCUAGUAGGUGGGGGAAAGGCUCACCUAGGCGACGAUCCCUAGCUGGUCUGAGAGGAUGACCAGCCACACGGGAACUGAGACACGGUCCAGACUCCUACGGGAGGCAGCAGUGGGGAAUAGUGCACAAUGGGCGCAAGCCUGAUGCAGACAUGCCGCGUGUAUGAAGAAGGCCGUCGGGUUGUAAAGUACUUUCAGCGGGGAGGCGUUACCCGCAGAAGAAGCACCGGCUAACUCCGUGCCAGCCGCCGCGGUAAUUC